rnacentral:rRNA from 1 species
CACGUAGGGGGCGAGCGUUGUCCGGAUUUAUUGGGCGUAAAGAGCUCGUAGGCGGCUCGGUAAGUCGGGUGUGAAAUUUCAGGGCUCAACCCUGAAACGCCACCCGAUACUGCCGUGGCUAGAGUCCGGUAGGGGAGCGUGGAAUUCCUGGUGUAGCGGUGAAAUGCGCAGAUAUCAGGAGGAACACCAGCGGCGAAGGCGGCGCUCUGGGCCGGAACUGACGCUGAGGAGCGAAAGCGUGGGGAGCGAACAGGAUUAGAUACCCCCGUAGUCC